UUUGGGCCCAGUUUUCAAGUUGGUCCAAAUCAGGAUUCCAUAUCAAGUAUUGUGCAAUAGCAAGAAAUUUUCAAUUGCACAGUAUUGCACAAUAGCAAGAAAUGUCUAAUUGCACCAUAUUGUGCAAUAGCAAUUAAUUUUCAAUUGGAGUUAUCUUUCUUUGUAUAGAAUAGUAGUUGAUAAUAUAUGUUGGAAAUUUGCCAG
rnacentral:lncRNA from 1 species